AAAAGUCGUAACAAGGUUUCCGUAGGUGAACCUGCGGAAGGAUCAUUAAUGAGUUUGUGCGGUUGUCGCUGGUUCUUACAAGUGCACGCCGUAUCUUCUUCAUCCACCCCACUGUGCAUCUCGGUACGCCUUUGCGCGUAGUCCUUUAUAUUUAUACACCUUUGUAAUGUUAAGAACGUGCUCGUAAUAAAAAUAAUGUACAACUAUCAACAACGGAUCUCUUGGCAUCCCGCUCGAUGAAGAACGCAGCGAAUUGCGAUAAGUAAUGUGAAUUGCAGAAUUCAGUGAAUCAUCGAAUCUUUGAACGCACCUUGCACCCUCUGGUAUUCCGGAGGGUAUGCCCGGUUGAGUAUUAUAAUCGACUCAAGCCUCUGGUUUCUAAUUGCAAAGGUCGGAUGACCGACGAAACCGUCUAUUGGGACGGCGGUAGUUGGAGUUUGACUUGGAAUCCGGAUGGCCUUGGACUUGAGCGCAUGUCGGUUUCACUUAGAGAUCGACUCGCUUGAAAUGUAUUAGCUGGCGACCCAACUAACGGUUUCACUCGACGUAGUAAGCCUUUAUUUCGUUGAGGACAUCUUUUCUUAAGGUGACCGGUAGACACGGGUGUUGAGCCGCUUCUAAUUGUCUUAGGACAAGCGACCGAAAGUCUAAUCUCAACUCGGGUAGGAUUACCCGCUGAACUUAAGCAUAUCAAUAAGCGGAGGAAAAGAAACU
rnacentral:misc_RNA from 1 species